rnacentral:lncRNA from 1 species
CCGCUGUUUGAACCUAUAUUUGGCAAGGCCCACGUAGCAAAUAGGUGGACCCAACCCGCAAGGCCUAAUGAAGGACUGCAGCUAAUGAAGGACCGCGGUCAAUUAGCCGCGGCACAUUAAAUGUUUAUUGUCAAAUUGAUAACCAAAAAUAACGUGUACAAAGGGCCGUUAUUAAAUCGGUAGAGAUUAAAUGACCCACAGGUCAUAAUGAAUGACCGCGGCACAUCAAAGAGGUUGAUUGUCAGAAGAAACGUUACCGAAGUUUGGGGCGCACAUCAAAGAGGUUGAUUGUCAGGAGAAACGUUACCGAAGUUUGGGGCAAUUAACUUGAAUGAGCAUUAGGAGGUGUUAUUGCCAAUCAUCAGUUACAAGACCUGAUUGAUUGCUCAUGAUAAAAUCAAUCAUUAAUAACGAUAUCACAAACAUGAAUACUGUUCUAUAUGUAAUCAAUGCGGUCUUAACUAUAAAGGCUAAAAUUGUUUCUUUUCCUUCAUUUAGUAGUUUAGCUUCAUUAUAAAAAGGACCAUAGGAUUCAUUGUUAGAGGACCUCGACCAAAGGCUCUACGCGAUUAC